CGGAAUUUUAAGUCAGUAGUGAAAGCCCAUCGCUUAACGAUGGAACUGCUAUUGAAACUGAAAUUCUUGAAUAUAGUUGAAGUAGGCGGAAUACGGCAUGUAGCGGUGAAAUGCAUAGAUAUGCCGUGGAACACCAAUCGCGAAGGCAGCUUACUAAGCUAUUAUUGACGCUAAUGUACGAAAGCGUGGGUAGCGAACAGGAUUAGAUACCCUGG
rnacentral:rRNA from 1 species